UUACCCAACUUGUUGGAUUAGUUUUUUUCAAUUGACUCCUACAUAGCCAUGAUCGCACAGCACAGUGUCACCGAUUACCACUCAACACCCACAAAACCAUUGACGUAUAAGAAGAAACGUGUUUGGUCUUGGAAUAAUUAAAUUGAAUUUGACCCAAAAAAAAAAAAAAAGAGUUGUUAGUUGAGAAUUGAGAAUUGUUGUUAGGUUUGGAAGAGAAAGGAAAUAAAAGAAUCUAUUCGUUGUUACUUCUUCCUCACCAGCUUCUUUUUCAUCAUCUGACCGGGUUUUUCUUCUGAUUUAGCCACCACCGUCACACCUUGCGGCCAUCGAAUCUUAACCUCUUUAAGUUGCAUCUCAACUUCGUUGUCAUCUAACCUCAUCGCCUUUUCAACACUGUUUGUUGGUUAUCCAGGCACAUAAUGUCCACAACAUUAUUUGAGCAUCAAAAGCUAUUGAAAUUCUGGAAGCAUAUGAAGGGGCAUUAAAGAUUAUCCUCCAGAAAGUGAACGGAUUGAGCAUGGAGAAAUGCUUUUAUAUAUAAGGUUGUUGCAUGGAGUUCUGUUCUUGGUAAGCAACUAGAGCAAAAGAAAAGAAAGAAGAUUGUCAAUCCUACUACACCCGUUGUCCCUCUUGCCAAACAUUUAAGGAGAUAAAGGGAUAUAUAUUGUUUACCCGUUUUUGAAAUAUUUUAGUUUAUAUGAUCAUGUACAAUGUGUGUAUAUAUUAUACUCAUAUUUUCUAUAAAGUAAAGCCUUUGGUUUAUACAUUAUAAUUAAAAUUUUAAUGUUAAGACUUUGUUUUCCUAAGAA